AUACGGAGGGGACUAGCGUUGUUCGGAAUUACUGGGCGUAAAGAGUACGUAGGCGGUCUAUCAAGUUGGGUGUGAAAGCCCGGGGCUCAACCCCGGAACUGCACUCAAAACUGAUAAACUAGAGAUCGGAAGAGGUAAGUGGAAUUCCCAGUGUAGAGGUGAAAUUCGUAGAUAUUGGGAAGAACACCAGUGGCGAAGGCGGCUUACUGGUCCGAGACUGACGCUGAGGUACGAAAGCGUGGGGAGCAAACAGGAUUAGAAACCCUGGUAGUCC
rnacentral:rRNA from 1 species